CGGUAAAGUCACCUCUGUUGUUUAUUUGGCAGAGGGCGUACGCGACAGUGCAUUGAAAGCUGUGAAACAAUGGCCCCUCCGGUAGCCGUGUCUCCCCUGAUCAAGAUGAACUGAAGCCAAUUGCUGCUGAAGAGAGAAGGGUUGAGGAAGAAGAGAAAAAGAUCCGGGAGGAGAAAGAACGUAUUGCCAAGCAGCUAGCGGAAGCAAAUGAAGAUACCAUUCUGAAAUAAAGCACUGGAGAGGA